AUGUCCUACGGGACGCAGCAGUGAGGAAUAUUGGUCAAUGGGCGCGAGCCUGAACCAGCCAAGUCGCGUGAGGGAUGACGGUCCUACGGAUUGUAAACCUCUUUUGCCGGGGAGCAAGCGUGCGUUCGUGAACGCACGUCGAGAGUACCCGGAGAAAAAGCAUCGGCUAACUCCGUGCCAGCAGCCGCGGUAAUACGUAGGUGGCAAGCGUUGUCCGGAUUUACUGGGUGUAAAGGGCGUGUAGCCGGGUUGACAAGUCAGAUGUGAAAUCCUGCGGCUUAACCGCAGAACUGCAUUUGAAACUG
rnacentral:rRNA from 1 species